rnacentral:rRNA from 1 species
GUGGGGAAUAUUGGACAAUGGGCGAAAGCCUGAUCCAGCCAUGCCGCGUGUGUGAAGAAGGUCUUCGGAUUGUAAAGCACUUUAAGUUGGGAGGAAGGGUAGUAACCUAAUACGUUGCUACUUUGACGUUACCGACAGAAUAAGCACCGGCUAACUUCGUGCCAGCAGCCGCGGUAAUACGAAGGGUGCAAGCGUUAAUCGGAAUUACUGGGCGUAAAGCGCGCGUAGGUGGGUCAGUAAGUUGGAAGUGAAAUCCCCGGGCUCAACCUGGGAACUGCCUCCAAAACUGCAUGACUAGAGUACGGUAGAGGGUAGUGGAAUUUCCUGUGUAGCGGUGAAAUGCGUAGAUAUAGGAAGGAACACCAGUGGCGAAGGCGACUACCUGGACUGAUACUGACACUGAGGUGCGAAAGCGUGGGGAGCAAACAGGAUUAGAAACCCCUGUAGUCC